rnacentral:rRNA from 1 species
AGAGUUUGAUCCUGGCUCAGGAUGAACGCUGGCGGCGUGCCUAACACAUGCAAGUCGAGCGAUGAAGUUCUCUUCGGAGAACGGAUUAGCGGCGGACGGGUGAGUAACACGUGGGUAACCUGCCUCAUAGAGGGGAAUAGCCUUCCGAAAGGAAGAUUAAUACCGCAUAAUAUUAUCUAGUGGCAUCACUUGAUAAUCAAAGGAGCAAUCCGCUAUGAGAUGGACCCGCGUCGCAUUAGUUAGUUGGUGGGGUAACGGCCUACCAAGACGACGAUGCGUAGCCGACCUGAGAGGGUGAUCGGCCACAUUGGGACUGAGACACGGCCCAGACUCCUACGGGAGGCAGCAGUGGGGAAUAUUGCACAAUGGAGGAAACUCUGAUGCAGCAACGCCGCGUGAGCGAUGAAGGUCUUCGGAUUGUAAAGCUCUGUCUUUAGGGAUGAUAAUGACAGUACCUAAGGAGGAAGCCACGGCUAACUACGUGCCAGCAGCCGCGGUAAUACGUAGGUGGCGAGCGUUAUCCGGAUUUAUUGGGCGUAAAGGGAGCGUAGGCGGAUACUUAAGUGGGAUGUGAAAUACUUGGGCUCAACCCGAGUAUUGCAUUCCAAACUGAGUAUCUAGAGUGCAGGAGAGGAGAGUGGAAUUCCUAGUGUAGCGGUGAAAUGCGUAGAGAUUAGGAAGAACACCAGUGGCGAAGGCGACUCUCUGGACUGUAACUGACGCUGAGGCUCGAAAGCGUGGGGAGCGAACAGGAAUAGAUACCCUGGUAGUCCACGCCGUAAACGAUGAGUGCUAGGUGUUAGGCCCUUUCCGGGGCUUAGUGCCGCAGCUAACGCAUUAAGCACUCCGCCUGGGGAGUACGACCGCAAGGUUGAAACUCAAAGGAAUUGACGGGGGCCCGCACAAGCGGUGGAGCAUGUGGUUUAAUUCGAAGCAACGCGAAGAACCUUACCAGGUCUUGACAUCCCGAUGCUAUUCCUAGAGAUAGGAAGUUUCUUCGGAACAUCGGUGACAGGUGGUGCAUGGUUGUCGUCAGCUCGUGUCGUGAGAUGUUGGGUUAAGUCCCGCAACGAGCGCAACCCCUAUUGUUAGUUGCCAUCAUUAAGUUGGGCACUCUAGCGAGACUGCCGGUAAUAAACCGGAGGAAGGUGGGGAUGACGUCAAAUCAUCAUGCCCCUUAUGACCUGAGCUACACACGUGCUACAAUGGUUGGUACAACGAGUCGCGAGUCGGUGACGGCAAGCAAAUCUCUUAAAGCCAAUCUCAGUUCGGAUUGUAGGCUGCAACUCGCCUACAUGAAGUCGGAAUCGCUAGUAAUCGCGGAUCAGCACGCCGCGGUGAAUACGUUCCCGGGCCUUGCACACACCGCCCGUCA